UCGAGUAUAGGGGAGGACCUCGAAACCCUGUAGUUUAACAUUGACGUCACAGGAAGGCGGCUCCGUGGCGGCGGCACAGGUGUGCUUUUCUUCAGGUGUAAAGCGAGGAAAUGAGCGUCCUGCAAAACCAGUUAAACUCUUCCCUGCCGUUAUUCGAGUUCAGAUCUCGGCUUAGGUAUGGCACAGAACUGCGUGGGGAACUGUGCGCCGUUAUUUUUUCUUGCCAUUGCUUUUGAUUUGUGUGGUUUGGCUAUUCUUGUAGUUGGUAUUUUCGCCAAUCUGAAAUUAGACGGUCGGUUCUACGGGGAUUUCCUAAUCUACACGGGGUCUCUCAUCAUUUUUCUCAGUUUGAUUUGGUGGAUUAUGUGGUAUACUGGGAACGUAAAGGUUUCUUCCGACGAUUUGGAGAAAAGCACUUUGGAUAACUUUGCGCACUGGGCGAGGAAGUUUUCUGAGAGGCUCUCUAAGAGUGGAAUGAAAACUCUGGAAGCAGGUGAAAAGUGCAGGGGGAAUGGGAAUCUCAACGGAACUGUAGCCUUACGUUCUGCACCGCGAUACGAAACCUCAAUGACUGCUCACGACAACAGAGGUUACGAUAGAAGUGCUGACAGUCCACUCCCCCAAAAAACUGUUGAGUUGGACAUUUUGAAGUGCUCCGUGGUGGCCCAGCAGAAAAGCGGAAAAGCGGAAAGGCUUCUUUGAGUUGGAACUGAAGACACUUUGUUUGCAGAAGAGGCUUCUGGUUCAGGGACCAGCCCUGCAUGCUGCACCAUGCAUGCUGCACCAUGCAGGCGACACACAGAAGAACUCUCCAUUUAUCCGAUGUAAAUAGAAUAAAUCUUUAUUUUUUAAACGUC